GACGAACGCUGGCGGCGUGCUUAACACAUGCAAGUCGAACGAUGAAGAAGAGAAACGCGAACUUCGGUUCAAAUUUCACUUCGGAUUAGUGGCAGACGGGUGAGUAACGCGUGAGCAACCUACCUCUUACAAAGGGAUAGCCUCGGGAAACCGUGAUUAAUACCAUAUGACACAUUCAUAAGGCAUCUUAAGAAUGUUAAAGCUACGGCGGUAAGAGAUGGGCUCGCGUCCCAUUAGCUAGUUGGUGAGGUAACGGCCCACCAAGGCGACGAUGGGUAACCGGCCUGAGAGAGUGAACGGUCACAUUGGAACUGAGACGCGGUCCAAACUCCUACGGGAGGCAGCAGUGGGGAAUAUUGCACAAUGGAGGGAACUCUGAUGCAGCGACGCCGCGUGAGCGAUGAAGGAAUUCAUUUCGUAAAGCUCUGUUCUAUGGGAAGAAAAGGACUGUACCAUAGGAGAAAGCCCCGGCUAAAUACGUG
rnacentral:rRNA from 1 species